GCCUGGCUGGCUCAGUUGGUAGAGCACAUGAUUCCUGAUCUUGGGUUUGUGGGUUCCAGCCCCAUGCUGGCUG
rnacentral:tRNA from 1 species